AUUGAACGCUGGCGGCAUGCCUUACACAUGCAAGUCGAACGGCAGCAUGGGUGCUUGCACCUGAUGGCGAGUGGCGAACGGGUGAGUAAUGCAUCGGAACGUGCCCUGAAGUGGGGGAUAACGUAGCGAAAGUUACGCUAAUACCGCAUAUUCUGUGAGCAGGAAAGCAGGGGAGCGCAAGACCUUGUGCUUUAGGAGCGGCAGAUGUCGGAUUAGCUAGUUGGUGCGGUAAAGGCUCACCAAGGCGACGAUCCGUAGCGGGUCUGAGAGGAUGAUCCGCCCGACUGGGACUGAGACACGGGCCAGACUCCUACGGGAGGCAGCAGUGGGGAAUUUUGGACAAUGGGCGCAAGCCUGAUCCAGCCAUGCCGCGUGAGUGAAGAAGGCCUUCGGGUUGUAAAGCUCUUUCGGUGGGGAAGAAAUGGUUUCGGUUAAUACCCGGAAUUGAUGACGGUACCCGCAUAAGAAGCACCGGCUAACUACGUGCCAGCAGCCGCGGUAA
rnacentral:rRNA from 1 species